rnacentral:lncRNA from 1 species
UUAAAGCUCCUGCACAAUUGAAAUAUGAAGAGAUGUGUAAUGGUUUUGUGGAGUUAGCAAAUCUUGUUGUAGAUGACGAGCAGCAUUCGCGUUCGAUAAUGGAAUGGAUAACAGUUCAAUGUAAAGACUUUACGACCACGAAAUCGAGUGCAGGAAGUAAUUCCAGUUUACAAAACACUGCUCAGGUGGAAGAUCAAAGUAGUGAUUUACCAAAAUUGCUAGUGUGAGCGCAUCGGAUCCGAAGUUGACUCGAAGAAAGGGAACGCCAAGGAAACUAGACAAAAAAGUCCAUUGGAGAUUGCAUAGAAGAAAAUGAAGGUAUGUUCGAUUGAGUAAUUUAUGAGUUGCAACUGUUUUGAAAUACAAAUCAUAGUUACCUUUUAUCCACAUGCAGUGUGGUUCGACAUCAAGCGCUUGUAGAAGACCAAGAACAAGCCAAAGAAAUAUGACUAAUGGAGGAAACAACGUUGAGCCACCUCAACAACAAUAACAACAAUAAGUGUUGACACCAAUGCCCUUCUCCCUUUCACAAUACCCAUCCCGACACCAUUCUCCCUCUCACAACAUUUAUCCGUUGCAAACUUCAUCUAUUCGACGCAAAUGGCGAACUUCAUGGACAUUUCACAAGGUGUAAAAGUUUCUCUUAUACAUGAAUUAAAACUUCAUUUCAUCAUGAUUGACUC